CUUCCAUGUCAUAAACAUGCAAUCCACAGGGAAUGAGGAGUAAACUGUCAAAACCAACAGCUAUUCUUCUGUUCCUCAACCCCAAGAGAAAGUGUUCCCUUAACCCCAUCAAAUAAAGCCAUUAAGGAAGCUUUAAAAUGAGGAAAACUUGUAGUGGCACAAAUGUUUAGGAUUACCAAGAGAAACAGAUCUCCUGGUGCUGUACCUGGAAUUUGCGUCCAAGGCAACAGUGCCCAAGGAAGCUUGGAUCAUGGAUCACCCUCCCAUUCUGUAGAAAGUCGCCAGAGUUGAAUGCCUGAGAGAUGAAGGCUUUCCACCAACUAGAGGGCAGUCCUAGAGCAGCAGGGAGUGUCCUCCUGAUCUGAAGUUUACCUUGUCUGGAUUUUGCUUCCCUCCACAGCAAGGUGAACCUUAAGCAAGUUUGCCAACAGCCUCCUUUAUAAUACCGGAAACUUCUUAAGCUUGGGGCCCCUCAACAGGAAUACAAACCUAUGGCGUGCAUAUCUACCUGGUCCUCUUUAUAUAGACCCCACGGAACUUGGUGGGGUUUGGAAAUAAAUCUAUGGCAACACUGAA